rnacentral:snoRNA from 2 species
GGUUCAUGAUGACACAGGACCUUGUCUGAAUAUGAUGAUUUCAAGAUUUGAGCUUAAAUUGACACUCUGAAAUC